GACGAACGCUGGCGGCGUGCCUAAUACAUGCAAGUAGAACGCUGAAACUUGGUGCUUGCACCGAGCGGAUGAGUUGCGAACGGGUGAGUAACGCGUAGGUAACCUGCCUGGUAGCGGGGGAUAACUAUUGGAAACGAUAGCUAAUACCGCAUAAGAGUAGAUGUUGCAUGACUUUUGCUUAAAAGGUGCAAUUGCACCACUACCAGAUGGACCUGCGUUGUAUUAGCUAGUUGGUGGGGUAACGGCUCACCAAGGCGACGAUACAUAGCCGACCUGAGAGGGUGAUCGGCCACACUGGGACUGAGACACGGCCCAGACUCCUACGGGAGGCAGCAGUAGGGAAUCUUCGGCAAUGGACGGAAGUCUGACCGAGCAACGCCGCGUGAGUGAAGAAGGUUUUCGGAUCGUAAAGCUCUGUUGUAAGAGAAGAACGAGUGUGAGAGUGGAAAGUUCACACUGUGACGGUAUCUUACCAGAAAGGGACGGCUAACUACGUG
rnacentral:rRNA from 1 species